rnacentral:lncRNA from 10 species
GGGUGACAGAGCGAGACUCUGUCUCAAAAAAACAAAACAGAAAACAAACAAACAAACAAACAAAACAGCAAAAACAUUGAGAAUAACCUAGAUGCUACUUAAGCCAUUGACUAACUAAACUUUAGUCAUUGUCAUUAAGGCAAUGACUAAACUAUGAUUCAGCCAUACUAUCAAAUAUCAUGAAACAGUCAAAAAGAGUGAUGUGGGCCAGGUGUGGUGGCUGAUGCCUAUAAUUCAAGCACUUUGGGAGGGCGAGGUGGGCAGAUCACCUGAGGUCAGGAGUUGGAGACCAGCCUGGCCAACAUGGUGAAACCCCGUCUCUACUAAAAAUACAAAAAUAGUGGGGUGUGGUGGUGCACGUCUGUAAUCCUAGCUACUUGGGAAGCUGAGGCAGGGGAAUUGCUUGAACCCAGGAGACAGAGGUUGCAGUGAGCUGAGAUCACAUCACUGCACUCCAGCCUGGAUGACAAGAGGGAAACUCCGUCUCAAAAAAAAAAAAAAAAAGUGACGUGGAACUAUUUGUGCUUAACAUAAGUGGAUCUUCAAUACAGCAUUCUGUGAAAAGGCAACUUGCAGAACAAAUGAGAGAAGACUGUGUAAUAGUUCCUAUAGUGGUUGGUGUGUGUGUGUGUGUUAUUUAUUCUGAAUUUCCUCCAGAAAAAUAAUUUGUUGUUUUUAAAAGCCUAAAGCCGGGCGCGGUGGCUCACAUCUGUAAUCCCAGCACUUUGGGAGACCGAGGUGGGCAGAUCACAAGGUCAAGAGUUCGAGACCAGCCUGGCCAGCAUGGUGAAACCCCCAUCUCUACUAAAAAAAUUCAAAAAAUAGCCCGGCAUAGUGGCGUGUACCUGUAAUCCCAGCUACUCGAGAGGCUGAGGCAGGAGAAUUGCUUGAACCUGAGAGGCGGAGGUUGCAGCGAGCCAAGACCACUGCACUCCAGCCUGAGCAACAGAGCAAAACUCCAUCUAAAAAAAAAAAAAAAAAAAAAAAAAAAAAUUCUAUUCUUUCAAAGGUUGAAGUCUACCGAAAGUGAAAGUUAGAAACCACAAUACUCACCAUUUCCAUGUAUUGUUAUUGAGCAAAUUCUCGAGUUUUAAAUUAUUUUAAGUGAGUUAAUUAGACAAGUCCAGUAAUUGAUGAAGACCCCUCUGAAAAAUGAGGUGAGUAUAUAUUUUGCUCAAAAGUCAGGUAAUAGGCAUUUGAGAGUGAAAAAAAAGAUCAUUUUCUUUAUGGAGCACUAUGUGUGGCUGAUCAAGGAGAAGAAAUAAGGCCAAUUUAUCCUGCUUUUCACAAAGAGUCUAAAGUAUGAAAUACUAAUUAUUAAAACAAGAAAUAUAGUCCAGAUCAAAACACUGUUAGGUGAUCACACAACUAAUUGGAGAGUGAGAACCAAAGGGGCCUUUAUUAAUGGUAAAAUCCAGAAGUGCUUUUCAAAGAGGUCAAUACAAAACAUGUGCCUUUUUUAACACCUUCACUGAGGACUCAAUAAUGCAAUAGAAAGCAUGCUGGUUAAAUGUGUGUUUGUCACUUCUUUCCUUUUGAAAUCUUCCUUUUAAAAAAUUAGAAUUAAGAAUGGUUGGCUUUCCUAAUGUUUAAUAGACAAGCCACAGAACAGCAAUAUUUGCUUUAAUCUGGCCUCACAUGAAUGAGGCAGUCCUGGAUCCCCAAAAAGCACCAGCCUCAGCCUAACAGUUUGUCCAUCUCUCCCAACCCCUGCUAGUAUCUUGGGAUGGUUUCAAAAGUGUUAAAAACACUGGUCUGAAAGUUCCUCUAGCACCUCAAGUAAGUGUCAUAUCUUCACCACCUCUUGACUGCCACCAGCAUCAGAAACUGCCUGGCUCCCAUGACCUCCAACUCUGGAGAAUACCCAUUGGACAGGACCUCCAGGCCUCCAGCACCCCUACCCAUCACUACACCUCAGCCUCAUCAUGACUUCAGGCUCAGCCAGCUGCCCCAAACCAAGAAGAGCGUGUACUCCUGGCUUCACAUGAUUUCUAGUCCAGCCUAGACCCUGUGGGUAGGCCAUGUCAACAAAGCAAAAUUACUACCAGAGACUAGAACCCCUCUCUGUUCACACACACAAUGCAGCAGCCAUUAGCCCCAUGUGCCUAUUAGGCACUUGAUAUGUAGCGGGUCCAAAUUGAAAUGUACUAUCAGUGUAAUAUACACCAGAUCCCAAGGACUUAAUAUGAAAAAAAAAUUAAGUAUCUUGUUGAUAAUUUUCAUAUUGACAUGUUGAAAUGGUGAUUUUUAAUACAUUGAGUUAAAUAAUAUUAAAAUGAAUUUCACUUGUUUGUCUUACCUUUUUAAUGUGGUUACUAGAAAAUAUGUGGCUUGCAUUAUAUUUCUAUUGAGCAGAACUUCCCCAGAACCAGCUGCUGACUGGAACUGCUGGACACAGAAUUUGGCUCUCUGGGGCCAGGGACUGGCAAAAAUUAGGUGGAUGUCAAGGCCCCAUAGAGAUGGGUUGCGGUGCAUGGUAUCCCAGAGGGCCUAGGCUACAGGAAGAAAAUCUUUUAGUGUUCAGUGUGUAGACCUGAUGCAGAGACCGGGAGGGGUGCCUGCAGAAAGAAAGCGGGAAGCCCCACAUCCACAGCUGAUUGACAGUGAGAAUGAGACGGCUGAAAAGAAGAGGCACCAUUCCACAUCAAAUGAAUGAUGGAGAGAGAAGCGUCACUGUCUAGAUAACUCCCCUAAUGGUCCAAAAUAACCCCUGCAAUCGGAUGGACAAAUAGGAACUUGAAUAUAAUGUCAAGAAAUCUGAGGUUUCCCUUCUCCUGAAUAUCUGGAUAAACAUGUCUCCCAUUCUCUACCCCAGAAUCAGACCCUGAGACAGAGAUUAGGGUGCAAGUUUAGUAGGGGGCGUAUUGGACUCUCUGGGGCUCCCUGGGAUCCCCUAUACUGGAAGGUAUAUCCAUCCUCCAGCUGUGAGUAUUGGCCGCCAACACUUCACAGUUGACCUCUGUUCUGGAGAAUUGCCUUUGGCCAAAUGGGCACUGCCUCAGCUUGGAGAUUAUAUGCUACCAUACCACUUCAGGGAAAGCCUCAGAAAAUGUCUAACUGAAGUAGGGAUUCCAAAGGCUGGCCCCCUUACCUGAAGGGGACACUAACUCUUUGUUACAAUCUGUGCUCUGGAAGUUCCCUCAGGGGAUUGGGCUGAAGCGAGGCUCCAGCCAGGACUGCAUCCUUGUUCAGCUCCUUUCCCUGCCCCAUCUUACAGCCCUGUCUCCUCUUCCCUGAGGACACUAUUCCACUAAAUCACGUGAACGAGACCCUUGUCUCAGGCUCUGCUUAUAGGGACCUCGCUGUGACAGGAGGUGAGGGAAACAUAGGUAGGUGAGUGGGGAAGUGAGAUAAGGAAGAAGACAAUAAAGGUAUGUUAUUAAGACAGUCACCACCGGAGGUGACUGGAAAUUAAUCCUGUGGCAAAACUGGAGGCCGAUGUAGAACACAGACCUCUGAAUUAUCCCAUCCAAUGGGCUGGGGUAUUUAUACACCAGUUCUCACCAGACAUUGGUCAAAAGCUGCCAGACUACAUCAACCCCGCAGCACUCCAGCCUGCCCAAGGUGGACAGGGAAGCCCUCCUAGGUUUCAGAGAAAGCCCUUGGGCUCCAAAGCUGGCAGUUGGAAGUCAGAUAACUGAGACUGAAGAGGGGAGGUAAUAUGGGCAGGGUAUAUGAAUUCUCAAUUCUAGCCCCAAAUUUCUGUCUGUUUAAUGAGUUCAAUGCAUGGACCUCUAAAACAUCUCUAUUCGAUGCCAUACUGACCCAAAUGGGCUUGAACCCCGCUCUGUUCACACACACACUCUCUCACACAGCAUUUAUAUAUAAGUUGGCUUCACCUAGGGCUCAGGUGAUUGAGAUAUUUACUUUGCUGAGAUACAUAUAUCUUCAAAGAUAACAUUGCACGUUUCUAUUCCUAAAAGUCUUUCAGCUGUCCCACCUGGGGAACCCUGUCUGGCUGCCUCAUCUCCAGGCUUCCCAUGUGGACAAGAGUCCAUCAAGGCAUUCAGUGGAACAAAAGGGUCUUUCAUUUUACAGGAUUCUCCUUAGAAGGUACUUGUGGAUCAAUAAGGCAAUUUUACUCUUUGUUACAUUAGUAUCAUGGUAUGCCAUUGUAUUGCCUUGAGUUAAGAAUUAAGUUUGUGUGCUAAGUUGGAGAGUAAAGUGUUUAUUGUAUUGUUUCUUGGCUGUGUGACUGAGCAUAGUAGAGGAGCAUGAAUGCAGAUAUCAGCAUCACCCAGAGAGACCCUGUGGGAGGAAAUAAGAAGAAGGUGAGGAGGGGAGCCACAUCAGCCACAUAGGGGACAAAGAGUCAGUUAAGAAAUAAUGCCCCAGAGCAUGUCAAUGGGACCCCCUUUCCUUCUCUCUGGCCCCAGAGGGAUGUGCUUUCCACCCCCAGGAAAGCCUCUGCAUCAGUAAGGCAAAGCUGUUAUUGCUGUUACUCAAUUGUAUUCAGCAUAUAUCUACUGAGUCCCUGUUGCCUGCUGGACACUGGGAAAAUGGUGACAUGCAAGACAGCCAAGGUCCCUGUUCUCAGGAAUGUUAAACUCUACUGAGAGAGACAGACCCUCCCCAUAAAAACAAGCACAGAAAUACAAUGAGUAAGAUCAUUUCAGAUGAUUCCAGUAAGGCUAUGUAGAAGAAACAAAAACACCUGGUGACAGGAAGGAUGACUGUUGGAGGAAU